GACGAACCGUGCGAACGUUGUUCGGAAUCACUGGGCUUAAAGGGCGCGUAGGCGGGCGGUCCAGUCAGGGGUGAAAUCUUUCGGCUUAACCGGAAAAGUGCCUCUGAUACUGACCACCUCGAGGGGUGUAGGGGCAUGUGGAACUAAUGGUGGAGCGGUGAAAUGCGUAGAUAUCAUUAGGAACGCCGGUGGCGAAAGCGACGUGCUGGACACCUUCUGACGCUGAGGCGCGAAAGCUAGGGGAGCAAACGGG
rnacentral:rRNA from 1 species